AGGCAAGAGUACCCGCUGAAUUUAA
rnacentral:rRNA from 1 species